rnacentral:rRNA from 1 species
UGGGGAAUAUUGGACAAUGGGCGCAAGCCUGAUCCAGCCAUGCCGCGUGAGUGAUGAAGGCCCUAGGGUUGUAAAUCUCUUUCACCGGUGAAGAUAAUGACGGUAACCGGAGAAGAAGCCCCGGCUAACUUCGUUCCAGCAGCGGCGGUAAUACGAAGGGGGCUCGCGUUGUUCGGAUUUACUGGGCGUAAAGCGCACGUAGGCGGACUUUUAAGUCAGGGGUGAAAUCCCGGGGCUCAACCCCGGAACUGCCUUUGAUGAUGGGAGUCUUGAGUAUGGUAGAGGUGAGUGGAGUUCCGGGUGUAGAGGUGAAAUUCGUAGAUAUUCGGAGGAACACCAGUGGCGAAGGCGGCUCACUGGACCAUUACUGACACUGAGGUGCGAAAGCGUGGGGAGCAAACAGG